rnacentral:rRNA from 1 species
GACGAACGCUGGCGGCGUGCUUAACACAUGCAAGUCGAGCGAAAGGAUUCCCUUCGGGGAUGAAUUUAGCGGCGGACGGGUGAGUAACACGUGGGCAACCUGCCUUAUAGAGGGGGAUAGCCUUCCGAAAGGAAGAUUAAUACCGCAUAACAUCAGAUUAUCGCAUGGAAGACUGAUCAAAGGAGCAAUCCGCUAUAAGAUGGGCCCGCGUCGCAUUAGCUAGUUGGUGAGGUAACGGCUCACCAAGGCGACGAUGCGUAGCCGACCUGAGAGGGUGAUCGGCCACAUUGGGACUGAGACACGGCCCAGACUCCUACGGGAGGCAGCAGUGGGGAAUAUUGCACAACGGGGGAAACCCUGAUGCAGCAACGCCGCGUGAGUGAUGAAGGCCUUCGGGUUGUAAAGCUCUGUCUUUGGGGACGAUAAUGACGGUACCCAAGGAGGAAGCCACGGCUAACUACGUGCCAGCCGCCGCCGUAACAC